UGAGGAAAUCAGAGGCAGAGGAGACUUCCCCAAAUAAAACCGUACGGACGGGCACUGUUGCUGUUGCUUAAUUAAGGAAUGCAAAGCCAAUUUUGAAUUUCCAUGAUCCAAUGUGAAAAUUGAGAUGUUUAUUCUUCUUGAAUCUUGAUCUGUAAAGAACUGAUGGAUGAGAGCUAAUUAAGGUUUGAGAAAUGGGAAUAGAGGAAUUAAGAGCCAUCCCCGA
rnacentral:misc_RNA from 1 species